AGCUCCAAUAGCGUAUAUUAAAGUUGUUGCGGUAAAAAGCUCGUAGUUGGAUUUCUACUUAGCACCGCCGGUCCGCUCUACGAGCGUGUAUCAGGUUGGCGCUGGGUAUCCUCGUGAGGAACGUUGCUGCGCUUCAUUGCGUGGUGCGGUAUUCACGACUUUUACUUUGAGGAAAUUAGAGUGUUCACGGCAGGCAAUCGCCUUGAAUAUGUUAGCAUGGAAUAAUAAUAUAGGACUUUAGUUCUAUUUUGUUGGUUUCUAGAGCUAAGGUAAUGAUUAAUAGGGAUAAUUGGGGGGAUUUGUAUUGGCGCGUCAGAGGUGGAAUUCUUGGAUUGCGUCACGACAAACUACUGCGAAAGCAUUUCUCAAGGAUGUUUUC
rnacentral:rRNA from 1 species